rnacentral:rRNA from 1 species
AUUGAACGCUGGCGGCAGGCCUAACACAUGCAAGUCGAGCGGAUGAAGGGAGCUUGCUCCUGGAUUCAGCGGCGGACGGGUGAGUAAUGCCUAGGAAUCUGCCUGGUAGUGGGGGAUAACGUCCGGAAACGGGCGCUAAUACCGCAUACGUCCUGAGGGAGAAAGUGGGGGAUCUUCGGACCUCACGCUAUCAGAUGAGCCUAGGUCGGAUUAGCUAGUUGGUGGGGUAAAGGCCUACCAAGGCGACGAUCCGUAACUGGUCUGAGAGGAUGAUCAGGCACACUGGAACUGAGACACGGUCCAGACUCCUACGGGAGGCAGCAGUGGGGAAUAUUGGACAAUGGGCGAAAGCCUGAUCCAGCCAUGCCGCGUGUGUGAAGAAGGUCUUCGGAUUGUAAAGCACUUUAAGUUGGGAGGAAGGGCAGUAAGUUAAUACCGUGCUGUUUUGACGUUACCAACAGAAUAAGCACCGGCUAACUUCG